GACGGGGGGGCAAGUGUUCUUCGGAAUGACUGGGCGUAAAGGGCACGUAGGCGGUGAAUCGGGUUGAAAGUGAAAGUCGCCAAAAAGUGGCGGAAUGCUCUCGAAACCAAUUCACUUGAGUGAGACAGAGGAGAGUGGAAUUUCGUGUGUAGGGGUGAAAUGCGCAGAUAUCAGGAGGAACACCGGUGGCGAAGGCGGGUCUCUGGGCCGAUACUGACGCUGAGGAGCGAAAGCGUGGGGAGCGAACAGG
rnacentral:rRNA from 1 species